rnacentral:rRNA from 1 species
AGCGAACGCUGGCGGCAGGCCUAACACAUGCAAGUCGAACGAACCUUUCGGGGUUAGUGGCGGACGGGUGAGUAACACGUGGGAACGUGCCUUUAGGUUCGGAAUAACUCAGGGAAACUUGUGCUAAUACCGAAUGUGCCCUUCGGGGGAAAGAUUAAUCGCCUUUAGAGCGGCCCGCGUCUGAUUAGCUAGUUGGUUGAGGUAAUGGCUCACCAAGGCGACGAUCAGUAGCUGGUCUGAGAGGAUGAUCAGCCACAUUGGGACUGAGGCACGGCCCAAACUCCUACGGGAGGCAGCAGUCGGGAAUCUUGCGCAAUGGGCGAAAGCCUGACGCAGCCAUGCCGCGUGAAUGAUGAAGGUCUUAGGAUUGUAAAAUUCUUUCACCGGGGACGAUAAUGACGGUACCCGGAGAAGAAGCCCCGGCUAACUUCGUG